UAUGGUGUGUGCCAGCAGCCGCGGUAAUACGUAUGGUGCAAGCGUUAUCCGGAUUUACUGGGUGUAAAGGGAGCGCAGGCGGUGCGGCAAGUCUGAUGUGAAAGCCCGGGGCUCAACCCCGGUACUGCAUUGGAAACUGUCGUACUAGAGUGUCGGAGGGGUAAGCGGAAUUCCUAGUGUAGCGGUGAAAUGCGUAGAUAUUAGGAGGAACACCAGUGGCGAAGGCGGCUUACUGGACGAUAACUGACGCUGAGGCUCGAAAGCGUGGGGAGCAAACAGG
rnacentral:rRNA from 1 species